rnacentral:rRNA from 1 species
AGUCGUGCGAGAAGGAGACUUCGGUCUCUGAGUAGAGCGGCGCACGGGUGAGUAACGCGUGGAUGAUCUACCCUUGAGUUCGGGAUAACGGUGCGAAAGCGCCGCUAAUACCGUAUAACAAUCCAUUUCAUCGUGGGUUCAAAGCAGGCCUCUUCAUGAAAGCUUGCGCUUGGGGAUGAGUCCGCGUCCCAUUAGCUUGUUGGCGGGGUAACGGCCCACCAAGGCUACGAUGGGUAGCUGGUCUGAGAGGAUGAUCAGCCACACUGGAACUGAAACACGGUCCAGACUCCUACGGGAGGCAGCAGUGGGGAAUAUUGCGCAAUGGGGGAAACCCUGACGCAGCGACGUCGUGUGAGGGAAGAAGGCCUUCGGGUCGUAAACCUCUGUCAGAAGGGAAGAACAUCCGGGAGUCGAACAGCCUCCCGGCCUGACGGUACCUUCAGAGGAAGCGCCGGCUAACUCCGUGCCAGCAGCCGCGGUAAUACGGAGGGCGCAAGCGUUAAUCGGAAUCACUGGGCGUAAAGCGUGCGUAGGCUGUUUGAUAAGUCAGACGUGAAAUCCCUCGGCUCAACCGGGGAACUGCGUUUGAUACUGUUGAACUAGAGUCCUGGAGAGGGUGGCGGAAUUCCUGGUGUAGGAGUGAAAUCCGUAGAUAUCAGGAGGAACACCGGUGGCGAAGGCGGCCACCUGGACAGGUACUGACGCUGAGGUACGAAAGCGUGGGGAGCAAACAGGAUUAGAUACCCUGGUAGUCCACGCGGUAAACGAUGGAUGCUAGGUGUCGGGGAGCGAUCUUCGGCGCCGCAGCUAACGCAUUA